rnacentral:rRNA from 1 species
GACGGAGGGGGCUAGCGUUGUUCGGAAUGACUGGGCGUAAAGGGCGUGUAGGCUGUUGAUCAAGUCAAGCGUGAAAGCCUCGGGCUUAACCCGAGAACUGCGUUUGAUACUGGUUGACUUGAGGACGAGAGAGGAAAGUGGAAUUCCGAGUGUAGAGGUGAAAUUCGUAGAUAUUCGGAGGAACAUCAGAGGCGAAGGCGGCUUUCUGGCUCGUAUCUGACGCUGAGGCGAGAAAGCGUGGGGAGCAAACAGG